GCUGCGGUAGCUCAAUUGGUAGAGCAUUGUACGCAAGAUGCGAAGGUUGUGGGAUCGUUCCCCACCUGCGGCA
rnacentral:tRNA from 1 species